rnacentral:rRNA from 1 species
GACGAACGCUGGCGGCGUGCCUAAUACAUGCAAGUCGAACGAAACUUUCUUACACCGAAUGCUUGCAUUCAUCGUAAGAAGUUGAGUGGCGGACGGGUGAGUAACACGUGGGUAACCUGCCUAAAAGAAGGGGAUAACACUUGGAAAUAGGUGCUAAUACCGUAUAUCUCUAAAGAUCGCACGAUCUUUAGAUGAAAGAUGGUUCUGCUAUCGCUUUUAGAUGGACCCGCAGCGUAUUAACUAGUUGGUGGGGUAACGGCCUACCAAGGUGAUGAUACGUAGCCGAACUGAGAGGUUGAUCGGCCACAUUGGGACUGAGACACGGCCCAAACUCCUACGGGAGGCAGCAGUAGGGAAUCUUCCACAAUGGACGCAAGUCUGAUGGAGCAACGCCGCGUGAGUGAAGGAGGUCUUCGGAUCGUAAAACUCUGUUGUUAGAGAAGAACACGAGUGAGAGUAACUGUUCAUUCGAUGACGGUAUCUAACCAGCAAGUCACGGCUAACUACGUGCCAGCCGCCGCGGUAAAAC